UGAUGUUCUUCAUGACGGCGUUGUGGAUUCAGCGUGAUUGACGGCGGUUCGUGGAUUCGGAUCGUGAGCUUUGUGGAUUCGGAGUGGAGGCGUUUCGUGGAUUCGGAACGUGGCGUUCGUGGAUUCAGACGUGAGGGCAUGGACAACCCAGAGGAUUACGCGAGAUUUAUAGGAGGUUAAGAGAGGUCGAGUCGGUAGAGUCGGUAAUCACUUUGUAAUCUUUUCUCUUAGUGAAUUAUUUUUUCGC
rnacentral:lncRNA from 1 species